CUGAGGGAGAGGAGGGAAGGAGCAGAUGGCAGGUGGUGGAAGAGGCGAGGAGCAGCAUGGGACAGAUGAACUGAGAAAAGAGGAAGAGAAGGGGUAAAGAGUGGUGAAAAGGAAUUAGCGAGAGUGACGGAUUUGCAUCCCUGUCAACAAGUCACUCCAGUCCUGGACCAGCCUUACCACAUCCACACAGUCCUGUUGCCACAAGGGAGACAGCUCCUGGCUGGAUUUAUUAUGUAUACACUGUUCUGGCUGCA